UUAAUGUAAAAUCAUUUCUUGCAUCCUUUCUGGUAACCUGUGGGGUUUUCUUAAAACGUGUUGUAAAUUGACAGGUCCCAGAUUUCCAACCUGUGGUGAGAGACCGUAUGAUGAAUAGGACCUUCAUCAUCAUCAGUCCGUAUUUCUCUGGCUUCAACAAAGAUGACUUCUAUGACUGGUUCCACGUGAAACUGGUUCUCAUCCUUGCAAGUUUCAGUCCAACAAUGUUCAACAAUGCAACCUCAGACAUAAACUGCACAAACUACCACAUCGUUGUCAGAGGGAUGGGCAAAGUCUUCCAUGCAAUGCCAUCACAUAGACAACAAGGAAUCGCAGAUGCUAUGCUGGGCUACAUGAGAAAAUCUGCCAGUGUCAUCAACACACCAGUUUGUAGGCAGGGAAUUGCCAAUGAUGCCAGAUGGCUGGAAGCAAAUUUGGGUCCAUUUUCCCAGUACACAACGUACCCUGACUUAAAAAGCUUCAACCUCUCUGGGGUGGAUGUUCUUGACUCACUUUCAAUGGAACAAAAAGCGGAUUUCCUUUUAGAACCAAAUAACCUCUCAAACGAAACCCUUGUGAAACUUGUUUUUACAAAAGUAACCAUGAUCUCAUCGGUGGAAGAGCUUGGCUCUUUCUUUGACAAAUUUGUUCAUGGGUAUUCUGAUCAAAAUCUGACGUCCAUCAAUCCCAAAAUGAGGGACACUAUCCUAAAUCUAACAUUGACGGCCCUUGGACCAAAACUAGGCAUGUUAAAUGCUGAAGGCUUCAAGAUAUGGUUCCAGGUUUACCUGCCUCUAUUCCUUCCAAGUGUUGAUGCUAGCACCUUGACGGUGAUUCCAAGAAAUAUCCCCUGUAACUCCUACCAAAAUGUGUGAGUGAAACCUCUUUAUUGCUCCAGACCAUACUGCUUUUGACAGGCAAUAUC
rnacentral:lncRNA from 1 species